UAAAAGUACUUGUCCUCAUUUAUUUGUAUGAUUGGAGUAUGUCAAACUAGUUUGUUUGGAAAAAAAAAUGAAAAAAAAACAUAAGUGAGGCGGGGCAGGGCUGGUUGAAAACUGAAAAAAAUAACUAUGCGGGGCGGGGCGAGGCGAAAUUUUUGUGGGUUUUGCCAAACCCGCCCCUCCCCACUGCCAUCCCUAGACAUCCAGUGCCUCUUAACUAUCAGCACUGAUAUUUUGUUCAAAGGUGUAGGUCCGCAACUUUGUGAUAGCUGAGUGUGACAAAUAAUACUUUGGUCUUGAGGCUGUGCUCUGUUAACAUUCAUUUGUCUACCAAAUUCUUCAGCAUUGCAUCACUUCCAGGUUUUCCUUUCCAACAUAUUGUAGCAGAUCACAAAGCAAUGUUUACAGAGUGGGAACCAUUUUGCUAGAAGCCUCUCUAAUGAAUCUGUAGGUAUUUGUACUCUUUCCUAGUUAAAUCAAACCAUCCUACUGCUUGAUGUUUCGUUUCCAUUAUAAAUUUGAAAGAUAAAAAUUUGUCAGAAUGAUCCACCUCUCCACAAUUAAUGACGUCCAAUUUGUUCAAUUUGCUACCAGGGACAUGAAUUAUGUUAUGCUUGUCAUUACACGCUAGCUCUGUUCUAAAGCUCCAUAUAGAAGUUAUAUUUCAAAUAUACACAAACACAUAUAUACAUAUAAAAAAUUGCGGACAACCAUCCCAAUUAUCUAGGAAAUAAGUAAACUUCCAUUGUCAGUAGUUGGCAGCAAUACCACUUCCAAUAUAUUCUCAGUUAGUUUGCUUUUGUUUCAUAAAUGUAAGUGUAAUUUGCCUAAAUUAUAGCAAAAGGCGCGAGUCAGUUCUCAACAUUCAUGUGAUCCUUUAUUAGAAAUACAUGCGACUAAGGAUGAUAGUAGCGAAAGAGAGAAGUUACCACAAUUUGAAUUGUCCCUCUCUCUCCAAUCACUUCCUGUGCAACAGCCAACAUGAAUGGUAGUUUUAGCGCGACAUUAAUUCCUUUAAUUGUGGUAGUUUUCAGGUGAUGCUAAUUUCUUCUGUUGUUCCACAUUUCCGUCUUUGCUUCUUGCCUAAGCCGGGGUUGGAUAGCAAACUUGUCAUUUCCUCAUCUAAUGUUUUUUCAGUUCGUAGAUGAAGUUUGCCACCAGAACCUAUGGAAUCACUCCUUCCAUUAUCGAUGUAAUUAUUCUGACUGUGUUAUUUCUGUAUCAAGCUUGCAGAAUAUAUAUAUUUAAGUAUAAUUUAUGGCGUUAGUUUAGCAUGUAAUAAGUAUUUCUUAAUAACGAAAGAGAAUUUUUUAGAAGAGGAAAUCAUGUAGUGCAACCGAUUAUUGCUGGAGGACUCAAAGACCACAUGAAAAAAUAGCUGGAUGCUACCCAAAAGCUAAGUCCUUUUUACCUUAAUACAGAAUAAGAAAGUUUACAAGAUCUUUGCAUUUGAUAAGAGGUGUUACAUCUUUGCAGCUUUACCUGCAGAGGGAUGGUAAGUACCCAUUUGAAUCAAACUCGUUAGACGAAAUUGUUAUUGCAUGCCUAUGGCCACAAAGGACAGAAAUACAAAAUACUUAAUUCACACUCUCACGGGUAAAUAUAACAAAGAAGUACCUUUAAUUUCUCAAUCAGGUAGCCUAACCUUCGGACAAGAGUUACAAUUUCAGGUUCAUAGCUGAAGUUUUCCACGAGAACCUUUGCAAGCACUCCUUUCAUCACUCGACGAAUUGCAGGCUCAGAGAAAGUGCAAGCUCACUUUCUCAGUCAGGUUGAUGUGUAAAACUGCAUUUGAUAGCAAAUAUACUAUGCUAGAAUGUUGCACAAUUCAAAAGCCUUUGGUUCUUCAUCAAGUGUUAGCUAGUGAUUUUAAGAAUGUAUUGCCUGAUUGCAUCCCUUAACAUUGCUUCAUCAAUUCUUGUGAGUUAUGACACAGAGUUGUUUAAUUAUUGAGAAUGUCAAAAAUGUCCUGGACUCAUUUUGUAUUCCCAGUGAUCAGAUAUGUAGAACAAUACAAUCACCCAGAGGAAUUUGAUAACAGUACAAGGUUCAAUCGAUUGCUUUCUCUCUGCUCUAUUUUGAAUGAUCUGCAACAAUACAAAAUCAUUUCCUCAUGGAAUGUUCUUUCAGUUUUUAGCUGAAUUUUGCGCUCUCUAUUGAUUAAGUAUUCAAUGGCUGGAAAUGAGUCCUUUGCAGUAGAAAAAGAGAGAUUGAAACAGAGGGAUUAUUUAUUUUCAAAUCUUCUGCUAUCUUUUUUAAAGGCAACAUUUAUACAAUUCAUCAGCUCUUUGAUC